AGCAGUGUGGCUUAGUAGAAAGAGCCUGGGCUUGGGAGUUAGAAGUCGCGGGUUCUAAUCCUGCUUCUGCUA
rnacentral:tRNA from 1 species